rnacentral:ncRNA from 2 species
UUCGCACCAUGCCUCCUCGGUGCCUUCGGCCGGUCCUGCCGGCCAAGGUGAAACGGGAAACAGCCGCGCGCGGCGACGAGAGCCAGGCCCUCGAUGGGUUUGCCCGCCGUCCCUGUGCGCCAACCUGUGCUGCCCCCGCAACGGUACGAGAGCAUCGGCGGUCCGGACACCCGGCCCGCCGAAAGUCCGAUCCAGUGCCACUGCGACGCCUCCCGGCGUCGCGGGAAGGCGAUCGGGCCCGCUCCCAGCCCGGAGACCGGCCGAGAGGCGGGCCCGCGC